UACGGGGGGGGCAAGAGUUGUUCGGAAUUACUGGGCGUAAAGGGCUCGUAGGCGGCCAACUAAGUCGGACGUGAAAUCCCCAGGCUCAACCUGGGAACUGCGUCUGAUACUGGAUGGCUUGAAUCCGGGAGAGGGAUGCAGAAUUCCAGGUGUAGCGGUGAAAUGCGUAGAUAUCUGGAGGAAUACCGGUGGCGAAGGCGGCAUCCUGGACCGGCAUUGACGCUGAGGAGCGAAAGCCAGGGGAGCAAACGGG
rnacentral:rRNA from 1 species